UACGUAGGGGGCAAGCGUUGUCCGGAAUCAUUGGGCGUAAAGAGCGUGUAGGCGGUUCGGUAAGUCGGCUGUGAAAGUCCAGGGCUCAACCCUGGGAUGCCGGUCGAUACUGCCGGACUAGAGUUCGGAAGAGGCGAGUGGAAUUCCCGGUGUAGCGGUGAAAUGCGCAGAUAUCGGGAGGAACACCUAUGGCGAAGGCAGCUCGCUGGGACGUUACUGACGCUGGAGACGCGAAAGCGUGGGGGGCAAACAGG
rnacentral:rRNA from 1 species